rnacentral:rRNA from 1 species
UACGGGGGGGGCAAGCGUUGUUCGGAAUUACUGGGCGUAAAGGCUCGUAGGCGGCCAACUAAGUCAUACGUGAAAUCCCUCGGCUUAACCGGGGAACUGCGUCUGAUACUGGAUGGCUUGAGUUCGGGAGAGGGAGUGCGGAAUUCCAGGUGUAGCGGUGAAAUGCGUAGAUAUCUGGAGGAACACCGGUGGCGAAGGCGGCAUCCUGGACCGAUACUGACGCUGAGGAGCGAAAGCCAGGGGAGCAAAGCGGG